UACAGAGGGUGCGAGCGUUGUCCGGAAUCACUGGGCGUAAAGGGCUCGUAGGCGGCCAACUAAGUCAGACGUGAAAUCCCUCGGCUUAACCGGGGAACUGCGUCUGAUACUGGAUGGCUGGAGUUUGGGAGAGGGAUGCGGAAUUCCAGGUGUAGCGGUGAAAUGCGUAGAUAUCUGGAGGAACACCGGUGGCGAAGGCGCAUCCUGGACCAACACUGACGCUGAGGAGCGAAAGCCAGGGGAGCAAACGGG
rnacentral:rRNA from 1 species